ACACCCAAGGAUACGGGGAGUCUCAGGAUGAGGCCGGUGUACCAGGACGGUAUAUCGAACAAGGACUGUGAAGGGAUAGCCGAGGAGCGGCGAAAUGGUAAGUAGGAUGCUUGCCAGUCAGGAUGACAUAAGGACCACUUCAGGAUGAAGUCAGGGACCCCGCCAGGAAGGAUGUUGAGAGUCAGAACAGGAUAGGCUGACGGGUCAGGAUGGCCACAGGACAACUUCAGGACGAAGAAUAAAAGGAAUCUGCUGACGGAUUACAGCAAUUCAACGGAUUGAUGCAGGGAGCACCAUAGUAGCGGGACUGCUGCAAGUAAGACCUAAGGGCGCAACGCAAGUUGCGCCCGUUCUUUUUUAU
rnacentral:other from 1 species